rnacentral:lncRNA from 1 species
GCCUUGAUGUGGCCCUUCUGCUUUUCUUUAGUGCAAUGAUAACAUCCCCUUCUCAUGUGUUAUUAGACAGGGAAAAUGUAACAACCUAGUCCUAAUUUUACGGUUUUAUAUUUUAAAGUGUGAAUUUAUGAAAAUGCCUUUUGAGGCGAAAUCAUAGACUUUCGUUAACCCUCAUAUUGGGAAACGUAUAACCUAUUCUAUUAGUGUAUCCUCGUAGUACUCGUUGUUACGAACGCGUAGGCACAAACAUGUUAAAUUUGGAGCUAUAACGAAAACUUUACGAAUUUCGAAACGUUGAGGGCAUUUCAAUAAUCUUACGUUUGUAGAUAUUUUCCCGUUUUGUAUUUUAUAAUUUUAUUCUGUGAGCCACUUGGGCCCACAUAUUUGUCCGAUGUCCCCUAUUCCCCUCCCUCAUUUUCUGGAUAUUCUUCCCUCCCUCUCUUUUUAUAUUUUCAAUUACUACA